rnacentral:tRNA from 1 species
UGUGGGAUACCGUUCAAGGUGAGGCGGGUCUGGCUGUUAACCAGAAUUAGAUAGGUUCGAUUCCUAUUCCCACAGCCA